AGUGAACGCUGGCGGCGUGCCUAAUACAUGCAAGUCGAACGGACAAGUAAGAGCUUGCUCUUAUGAGUUAGUGGCGCACGGGUGAGUAAUGUAUAGCUAAUCUACCCUACACUAGAGGACAACAGUUGGAAACGGCUGCUAAUACUCUAUACUCCUGUCUUACAUAAGUUAGAUAGGGAAAGUUUUUCGGUGUAGGAUGAGGCUAUAUUGUAUCAGCUAGUUGGUGAGGUAAUGGCUCACCAAGGCUAUGACGCAUAACUGGUCUGAGAGGAUGAUCAGUCACACUGGAACUGAGACACGGUCCAGACUCCUACGGGAGGCAGCAGUAGGGAAUAUUGCUCAAUGGGGGAAACCCUGAAGCAGCAACGCCGCGUGGAGGAUGACACUUUUCGGAGCGUAAACUCCUUUUGUU
rnacentral:rRNA from 1 species